GAAGGCGAAGGUGACGCCCGUCAGGCACAGCAGCAGGAACACGCGCCGCUGGAAGCGCCCGAACUCGCCGGCCCUCUGCAGCGCCUCGUCGAAGGAGGGCAUGGUGCGCGCGGCCGGCCGCCGCCGGGCCCGACUCCGAACACAAAGGUGCCUCUUCCUGGCAUUUCACUACCCUGCGCCUCCCUGUUCACUGCCCAGCAAGGACCCGGGGAUAGCACCCAGUUCGUGAAGGCUCCCCCACCACCAUGACUGCCUUCCUUCCCAGAUUUGUGAUCCAAGCCUAGGCUUCACACAGAUGUACCCUGAUGCUGCCAAAGGGGGCUUUAUGAAAUGUGAGUUCUCAGGCAUAAGUACAACCAGGAGCUCUAUGACGCUGGAAAUCUUCCAAGAAUUCUUGAGCCCAUUACAAGUUGUCCUUUCUGGGGGCAGGCACCUGAUAUCCAGGACUGAGAGGGGGGCCUGGGGGGCCUGACUCAUGACUGUACUGUCUCCUCUGAACUUCUUCACUCUCCCCUACCUUCUAUCUUGAAAAUACACUUGGCUGUUGGAAUAUUUUAUUUUAAAAAAAUGUAAUUAAAAUAAUAGAUGCACAUGAAAGAAAAUUAAAUUAUACAGGAGGGAAUAUGGGGAAAUAGCAAUCUCCCAUAUGACCCGUCCAAGUCCCCCAGAAUUGACCAUUUUUAAUGAUUUCCAUUUUAGCGCUACUAGAAAUUGCCACUGUAAUGUGCAACUAUUUCUUGUUUAGAAAACCUUGACAGAAUCCAUUGACCCUCUUCUGCAAAAAAUAAAGUAUUCCUUUACCAUAAUCCUCUAAGUAUUUUAUGACUACAGAAAAAUUUGUAAUUUUUCCUAUUUAAAUAAAGUUAUUUAUCUCCAUUCCUUGUCCUAAAAUUCUGAACAGCAUCUCCUGGCUCAACCACAGAAGAAUAUUGGCAUCCUUCCAUCCCUAACUUUCAC